rnacentral:rRNA from 1 species
AUUGAACGCUGGCGGCAGGCCUAACACAUGCAAGUCGAGCGAGCGGCGGACGGGUGAGUAAUGUAUGGGGACUGCCCGAUAGAGGGGGCUAACUACUGGAAACGGUGGCUAAUACCGCAUACUAUCGGAUAACCCAUAUGGGAUUAGCUAGUAUGUGGGGUAAAGGCUCACCUAGGCGACGAUCGCUAGCUGGUCUGAGAGGAUGAACAGCCACUCUGCGACUGAGACACGGCCCAGACUCCUCCGGAGGCAGCCUUGGGAGAUAUUGCACAAUCGGCGCAAGCCUGAGGCAGCCAUGCCGCGUGUAUGAAGAAGGCCUUAGGGUUGUAGAGUACUUUCAGCGGGGAGGCGUUACCCGCAGAAGAAGCGCCGGCUAACUCCGUGCCAGCAGCCGCGGUAAUAC